rnacentral:rRNA from 1 species
UCGCGAAAACUUGUCAAUGGGGGAAACCCCGAACAGGGAAGUCCAAGUGCAUGCGUUUUACGUAUGCUGUUCGGUUGUCUAAAACACAGCUGAAGUAAGGGCUGGGUAAGACAGGUGCCAGCCGCCGCGGUAAUACCUGCAGCCCAAGUGGUAAUCGUUAUUAUUGAGCCUAAAGCGUCCGUAGCCGGUUUGGUAAACCCUCGGGUAAAUCGGGCAGCUUAACUGUCCGAAUUCCGGGGGGACUGCCAGACUUGGGACCGGGAGAGGUCAGAGGUACUUCAGGGGUAGGGGCUAAAUCCUGUAAUCCUUGAAGGACCACCAGUGGCGAAGGCGUCUGACUAGAACGGAUCCGACGGUAAGGGACGAAACCCUGGGGCGCAAACCGGAUUAGAUACCCGGGUAGUCCUAGGCGUAAAUGAUGCGAGUUAAGUGUGGGGGCAUCCACGAGAUGGCCCUGUGCUGUAGGGUAGCCGUUAAACUCGCCGCCUGGGGAGUACGGUCGCAAGGCUGAAACUUAAAGGAAUUGGCGGGGGAGCACACAAGAGGUGGAGGCUGCGGUUC